rnacentral:rRNA from 1 species
GGCGGACGGGUGAGUAAUGUCUGGGAAACUGCCCGAUGGAGGGGGAUAACUACUGGAAACGGUAGCUAAUACCGCAUAACGUCGCAAGACCAAAGAGGGGACCUUCGGGCCUCUUGCCAUCGGAUGUGCCCAGAUGGGAUUAGCUAGUAGGUGGGGUAACGGCUCACCUAGGCGACGAUCCCUAGCCGGUCUGAGAGGAUGACCAGCCACACUGGAACUGAGACACGGUCCAG